rnacentral:rRNA from 1 species
AUUGAACGCUGGCGGCAUGCCUUACACACGCAAGUCGAACGGCAGCACGGGGCAACCUGGUGGCGAGUGGCGAACGGGUGAGUAAUGCAUCGGAACGUACCUUUCAGUGGGGGAUAACGUAGCGAAAGUUACGCUAAUACCGCAUAUUCUGUGAGCAGGAAAGCAGGGGAUCGCAAGACAUUGCUCUUAUUGAGCGGCCGAUGUCAGAUUAGCUAGUUGGUGAGGUAAAGGCUCACAAAGGCGACGAUCUGUAGCGGGUCUGAGAGGAUGAUCCGCCACACUGGAACGGAGACACGGUCCAGACUCCUACGGGAGGCAGCGGUGGGGAAUUUUGGACAAUGGGGGCAACCCUGAUCCAGCCAUGCCGCGUGAGUGAAGAAGGCCUUCGGGUUGUAAAGCUCUUUCGGCCGGGAAGAAAUCGUAUCAGCUAAUACCUGGUGCGGAUGACGGUACCGGCAUAAGAAGCACCGGCUAACUACGUGCCAGCCGCCGCCGUAACAC